rnacentral:rRNA from 1 species
GAUGAACGCUAGCGGCAGGCCUAACACAUGCAAGUCGAGGGGUAACAGGGAAGCUUGCUUCCGCUGACGACCGGCGCACGGGUGCGUAACGCGUAUACAAUCUACCUCUAACUGGGGGAUAGCCCGAAGAAAUUCGGAUUAAUACCCCAUAGUAUAAAGAAUUCGCAUGUUUUCUUUAUUAAAACUACGGUGGUUAGAGAUGAGUAUGCGUCCUAUUAGUUAGUUGGUGAGGUAACGGCUCACCAAGACUCCGAUAGGUAGGGGGUCUGAGAGGAUGAUCCCCCACACUGGUACUGAGACACGGACCAGACUCCUACGGGAGGCAGCAGUGAGGAAUAUUGGACAAUGGACGAAAGUCUGAUCCAGCCAUGCCGCGUGUAGGAAGACUGCCUUCUGGGUUGUAAACUACUUUUAUAUGGGAAUAAACCCCCCGACGUGUCGGGGGCUGAAUGUACCAUACGAAUAAGCACCGGCUAACUCCGUGCCAGCAGCCGCGGUAAUACGGAGGGUGCAAGCGUUAUCCGGAUUUAUUGGGUUUAAAGGGUCCGUAGGCGGGAUUAUAAGUCAGUGGUGAAAUCUUUCGGCUCAACCGGAAAAUUGCCAUUGAUACUGUAGUUCUUGAGUAUGCUCGAUGUAGGCGGAAUAUGUCAUGUAGCGGUGAAAUGCAUAGAUAUGACAUAGAACACCGAUAGCGAAGGCAGCUUACAAGCGCAUUACUGACGCUGAUGGACGAAAGCGUGGGGGAGCGAACAGGAUUAGAUACCCUGGUAGUCCACGCCGUAAACGAUGAUCACUA